rnacentral:rRNA from 1 species
AUGGGUGAUGGCGUGCCUUUUGUAGAAUGAACCGGCGAGUUACGUUUAACAUGCAAGGUUAAGCCGAGAAGGUGGAGCCGCAGCGAAAGCGAGUCUGAAUAGGGCGAUUGAGUAUGUGGACGUAGACCCGAAACCGUGUGAUCUACCCCUGUCCAGGGUGAAGGUGCGGUAACACGCACUGGAGGCCCGAACCCACGUACGUUGAAAAGUGCGGGGAUGAGGUGGGGGUAGCGGAGAAAUUCCAAUCGAACUCGGAGAUAGCUGGUUCUCCCCGAAAUAGCUUUAGGGCUAGCCUCGGUAUAAGAGUAGUGGAGGUAGAGCACUGAUUGGGUGCGGGGUCCGCAAGGAUUACCAAGCUCAGUCAAACUCCGAAUGCCAUAUACUUAUUGCCGGGAGUCAGACAGUGAGUGCUAAGAUCCAUUGUCAAAAGGGAAACAGCCCAGACCAUCAGCUAAGGUCCCCAAGUGUGUGUUAAGUGGGAAAGGAUGUGGAGUUGCACAGACAACCAGGAUGUUGGCUUAGAAGCAGCCACCAUUGAAAGAGUGCGUAAUAGCUCACUGGUCGAGUGACUCUGCGCCGAAAAUGUAACGGGGCUAAACACACCACCGAAGCUAUGGCUAGAUACGUAUGUAUCUGGGGUAGGGGAGCGUUGUGUAGGGGUUGAAGGUGUACUGAAAAGAGCGCUGGACACUACACAAGUGAGAAUGCCGGUAUGAGUAACGAAAAGAUCAGUGAGAAUCUGAUCCGCCGAAAGCCCAAGGUUUCCUGAGGAAGGCUCGUCCGCUCAGGGUAAGUCGGGACCUAAGGCGAGGCCGAAAGGCGUAGUCGAAGGACAACAGUUUGAAAUUACUGUACCACCGUAAUCCGCUAUGAGCGAUGGGGUGACGCAGGAGGGUAGUGACGCGGACUGAUGGAUGUCCGUCUAAGCAGUGAGGCUGAUGUGUAGGCAAAUCCGCACAUCGAUAAGGCUGGCUGUGAUGGGGAGCGAAAAUUAUAGUAGCGAAGGUCAUGAUCUCACACUGCCAAGAAAAGCCUCUAGCCAGGAGAAGGUGCCCGUACCGCAAACCGACACAGGUAGGCGAGAAGAGAAUUCUAAGGCGCGCGGAAGAACUCUCGUUAAGGAACUCGGCAAAAUGACCCCGUAACUUCGGGAGAAGGGGUGCCCCGGUAGUGUGAAUAGCACGAGGGGGCCGCAGUGAAAAGGCCCAAGCGACUGUUUAGCAAAAACACAGGUCUGUGCGAAGCCGCAAGGCGAAGUAUACGGGCUGACGCCUGCCCGGUGCUGGAAGGUUAAGGGGAGUGGUUAGGGGUAACCCGAAGCUAUGAACCGAAGCCCCAGUAAACGGCGGCCGUAACUAUAACGGUCCUAAGGUAGCGAAAUUCCUUGUCAGGUAAAUUCUGACCCGCACGAAUGGCGUAACGACUUGGGCGCUGUCUCAACGAGAGAUCCGGUGAAAUUUUAAUACCUGUGAAGAUGCAGGUUACCCGCGACAAGACGGAAAGACCCCAUGGAGCUUUACUGCAGCUUGAUAUUGAAUUUGGGUACGAUCUGUACAGGAUAGGUGGGAGCCGUAGAAAUCGGAGCGCAAGCUUCGGUGGAGGCGCCGUUGGGAUACCACCCUGAUCGUAUCUAGGUUCUAACCUAGUACCCUUACCGGGUACGGGGACCGUGUCAGGCGGGCAGUUUGACUGGGGCGGUCGCCUCCUAAAGAGUAACGGAGGCGUUCCAAGGUUCCCUCAGAAUGGUUGGAAAUCAUUCGCAGAGUGCAAAGGCAUAAGGGAGCUUGACUGCGAGACCUACAAGUCGAGCAGGGACGAAAGUCGGACUUAGUGAUCCGGUGGUACCGCAUGGAAGGGCCAUCGCUCAACGGAUAAAAGCUACCCUGGGGAUAACAGGCUUAUCUCCCCCAAGAGUCCACAUCGACGGGGAGGUUUGGCACCUCGAUGUCGGCUCAUCGCAUCCUGGGGCUGAAGUAGGUCCCAAGGGUUGGGCUGUUCGCCCAUUAAAGCGGUACGCGAGCUGGGUUCAGAACGUCGUGAGACAGUUCGGUCCCUAUCUGUCGUGGGCGCAGGAAAUUUGAGAGGAGCUGUCCUUAGUACGAGAGGACCGGGAUGGACGUACCGCUGGUGCACCAGUUGUUCCGCCAGGAGCAUGGCUGGGUAGCUACGUACGGACGGGAUAAGCGCUGAAAGCAUCUAAGCGUGAAGCCCCCCUCAAGAUGAGAUUUCCCAAUUAGUAAGACCCCUUGAAGACGACGAGGUAGAUAGGUUGGAGGUGGAAGUGCAGCAAUGCAUGGAGCUGACCAAUACUAAUCGGUCGAGGGCUUAUCCUAU